GAAGCUUCCAGCAGGAACACGGCCCUGCCAGCACACUGAAUUUAGACUUUCUACCUCUACAACUGUGAAGAGAAUAAUCUGUAUUGUUUUAAGCCACUAAAUUUGUGACAAUUUAUUACAACAGCAAGGGAAACUCAUAUACCUGGGGAUGUUUCAAGUCAGAGGAAGGGAUAUUUACCUCCCAGGAGGAAGGUAGGGCUUCCUGAGUGGUGGUGAUCACAGGUGUGCAGUGACCGACACCUUCAGAGCCACAGAGAGGCCAGAUGUUGGAAACAGUGCUCAGAGAAGGGACAAGAGCACCCAGAACCUUUGCUUAGGGAGCAGGAGCAGACCCAUUGUGGGUGCCCACAGUGGUCUCGAACUCCUGGACUCAAGUGAUUGGCCCGCCUCGGCCUCCCAAAGUGCUGGGAUUACAGGUGCAAGCCAUGGCGCCCAGCAAGACAGAUUCUUAAUAAAGUAAAACAAAGCCUUACUCUAAAGCCCGGCAAUUCCACUCCUAGAAAUUUACCAAAGAGAAAUGAAAACAAAUAUCUACACAAAAGAUCCAAAUGUGAAGCCACCCUCGAAAUGAAAAGUGGUGUCCAGCUCAGGCCCCUUGUCUCUCCAUCUGAGGACUCGGGCCUGCCGUGAGAAAG
rnacentral:lncRNA from 1 species